CUGUCGAGAAAAGCUUCUAGUGAGAGAGCUACCGCCCGUACCGUAAACCGACACAGGUAUGCGGGGAGGGAAUCCUAAGGUGCGCGGGAGAACCCUCGUUAAGGAACUCGGCAAAAUGUACCCGUAACUUCGGGAUAAGGGUAGCCACUGUUGUGAAGUCCCAUGCGGAUGGAGCAUAGAGUGGUCGCAGAGAAGAGGCCCAAGCGACUGUUUACCAUAAACACAGGUGCCUGCUAAAGCGAAAGCUGACGUAUAGGUGCUGACACCUGCCCAGUGCCGGAAGGUUAAGGAAGGAUGUUCGGAUUAGUCCAAAGCAUUCGACUGAAGCCCCGGUGAACGGCGGCCGUAACUAUAACGGUCCUAAGGUAGCGAAAUUCCUUGUCGGGUAAGUUCCGACCCGCACGAAAGGUGUAACGAUUUGGGCACUGUCUCAACGAGGGACCCGGUGAAAUUGAAAUACCUGUGAAGAUGCAGGUUACCCGCGACUGGACAGAAAGACCCCAUGGAGCUUUACUGUAACCUGACAUUGGGUUUUGAUACAUUACGUACAGGAUAGGUGGGAGGCUUGGAAAGUUGGACGCUAGUCUGACUGGAGCCGACGUUGGGAUACCACCCUUGAUGUAUUGAAAUUCUAACCGCGAGAGUAACGAAAUCCGGGACAGUGUCAGGCGGGCAGUUUGACUGGGGCGGUCGCCUCCGAAAGAGUAACGGAGGCGCCCAAAGGUUCCCUCAGCGCGGCCGGAAAUCGCGCGAAGAGUGUAAAGGCAGAAGGGAGCUUGACUGCGAGUCAAACACGACGAGCAGGUACGAAAGUAGGGCUUAGUGAUCCGGUGGUACCGAGUGGAAGGGCCAUCGCUCAACGGAUAAAAGCUACCCUGGGGAUAACAGGCUAAUCUCUCCCAAGAGUCCAUAUCGACGGGGAGGUUUGGCACCUCGAUGUCGGCUCAUCACAUCCUGGGGCUGAAGUCGGUCCCAAGGGUUGGGCUGUUCGCCCAUUAAAGUGGUACGUGAGCUGGGUUCAGAACGUCGUGAGACAGUUCGGUCCCUAUCCAUCGCGGGCGCAAGAGAUUUGAAGGGGGCUGCUCCUAGUACGAGAGGACCGGAGUGGACGAACCGCUGGUGUACCAAUUAUCCCGCCAGGGGUACAGUUGGGUAGCUACGUUCGGAAAGGAUAAACGCUGAAAGCAUCUAAGCGUGAAACCAGCCUUAAGAUGAGAUCUCUCAUAGAGCAAUCUAGUAAGACACCUUAAAGAAGAUGAGGUUGAUAGGUCGGGAGUGUAAGUACAGCAAUGUAUUGAGCGGACCGAUACUAAUAUGUCGAGGGCUUGACUUA
rnacentral:rRNA from 1 species